rnacentral:rRNA from 1 species
GGGAGCCCGCAAGGGUGACCACGUACCUUUUGUAUAAUGGGUCAGCGACUUAGUGUGACGAGCAAGCUUAAACCGCUAGGUGUAGGCGCAGCGAAAGCGAGUCUGAACAGGGCGUUCAGUUCGUCGCAUUAGACCCGAAACCGAGUGAUCUAGCCAUGAGCAGGCUGAAGGUUGGGUAACACCAACUGGAGGGCCGAACCCAUAACUGUUGCAAUAGUUCGGGAUGACUUGUGGCUAGGGGUGAAAGGCCAAUCAAACUCGGAAAUAGCUGGUUCUCCGCGAAAUCUAUUUAGGUAGAGCGUCGACCGAAUACCCUCGGGGGUAGAGCACUGGAUGGGCUAUGGGGACUCACCGUCUUACUGAUCCUAACCAAACUCCGAAUACCGAGGAGUACUAGUCGGCAGACACACGGCGGGUGCUAACGUCCGUCGUGAAAAGGGCAACAACCCUGACCUCCAGCUAAG